UACGUAGGUGGCAAGCGUUGUCCGGGAUUAUUGGGCGUAAAGCGCGCGCAGGCGGUCCUUUAAGGCUGAUGUGAAAGCCCACGGCUCAACCGUGGAGGGUCAUUGGAAACUGGGGGACUUGAGUGCAGAAGAGGAAAGCGGAAUUCCACGUGUAGCGGUGAAAUGCGUAGAGAUGUGGAGGAACACCAGUGGCGAAGGCGGCUUUCUGGUCUGUAACUGACGCUGAGGCGCGAAAGCGUGGGGAGCAAACAGG
rnacentral:rRNA from 1 species